rnacentral:rRNA from 1 species
AUACGUAGGUGGCAAGCGUUGUCCGGAUUUACUGGGUGUAAAGGGCGUGUAGCCGGGAAGGCAAGUCAGAUGUGAAAUCUGGAGGCUCAACCUCCAAACUGCAUUUGAAACUGUCUUUCUUGAGUAUCGGAGAGGUAAUCGGAAUUCCUUGUGUAGCGGUGAAAUGCGUAGAUAUAAGGAGGAACACCAGUGGCGAAGGCGGAUUACUGGACGACAACUGACGGUGAGGCGCGAAAGCGUGGGGAGC